rnacentral:rRNA from 1 species
AAAUUGAAGAGUUUGAUCAUGGCUCAGAUUGAACGCUGGCGGCAGGCCUAACACAUGCAAGUCGAACGGUAACAGGAAGCAGCUUGCUGCUUUGCUGACGAGUGGCGGACGGGUGAGUAAUGUCUGGGAAACUGCCUGAUGGAGGGGGAUAACUACUGGAAACGGUAGCUAAUACCGCAUAACGUCGCAAGACCAAAGAGGGGGCCC